GGCCGGUUAGCUCAGCUGGUUAGAGCGUGGUGCUAACAUCGCCAAGGUCCUGAGUUUAACCCCCAUACUGGCCA
rnacentral:tRNA from 1 species